rnacentral:rRNA from 1 species
ACCCAAUAGAUACCCCGGUAGUCCACGCCGUAAACGAUGAGAACUAGAUGUCGGGGGGAGUUAGCCCCUCGGUGUCGUAGCUAAACGCGCUAAAGUUCUCCGCCUGGGGAGUACGGCCGCAAGGUUGAACUCAAAGGAAUUGACGGGACCCGCACAAGCGGUGGAGCAUGUGGUUUAAUUCGACGCAACGCGAAGAACCUUACCUGGUCUUGACAUCCUCGGAACCCUGCAGAGAUGCGGGGGUGCCUUCGGGAGCCGAGAGACAGGUGCUGCAUGGCUGUCGUCAGCUCGUGUCGUGAGAUGUUGGGUUAAGUCCCGCAACGAGCGCAACCCUUGUCCCUAGUUGCCAUCAUUCAGUUGGGAACUCUAGGGAGACCGCCGGUGACAAACCGGAGGAAGGUGGGGAUGACGUCAAGCCAUCAUGGCCCUUAUGACCAGGGCUACACACGUGCUACAAUGGCCGGUACAAAGGGCUGUCAACCCGCAAGGGGGAGCCAAUCCCAAAAAGCCGGUCGUAGUCCGGAUCGGAGUCUGCAACUCGACUCCGUGAAGUCGGAA